UAGCUAAUACCGCAUAACGUCGCAAGACCAAAGAGGGGGACCUUCGGGCCUCUUGCCAUCUGAUGUGCCCAGAUGGGAUUAGCUAGGAGGCGGGGUAACGGCUCACCUAGGCGACGAUCCCUAGCUGGUCUGAGAGGAUGACCAGCCACACUGGAACUGACACACGGUCCAGUACUCCUACGGGAGGCAGCACUGGGGAAUAUUGCACAAUGGGCGCAAGCCUGAUGCAGCCAUGCCGCGUGUAUGAAGAAGGCCUUCGGGUUGUAAAGUACUUUCAGCGGGGAGGAAGGCGAUAAGGUUAAUAACCUUGUCGAUUGACGGCUACCCGCAGUAAGAAGCACCGGCUAACUCCGUGCCAGCAGCCGCGGUAAUUCGGAGGGUGCAAGCGUUAAUCGGAAUUACUGGGUCGUAAAGCGCACGCCAGGCGGCUCUGUCAAGUCGGAUGUGACAUCCCCGGGGCUCUACCUGGGGAACUGCAUUCGAAACUGGCAGGCU
rnacentral:rRNA from 1 species